rnacentral:tRNA from 1 species
GCUGGUAUAGCUUAGUGGUAGACAGGAUGCCUAGCAUGCAUGAGGUCCUGGGUUCAAUUCCCAGUACCGCCA